GAGUUUGAUCAUGGCUCAGGACGAACGCUGGCGGCGUGCCUAACACAUGCAAGUCGAGCGAAGUGAUUUCGAAUGAAAUUUUCGGAUGGAUUUUGGAAUUAUCUUAGCGGCGGACGGGUGAGUAACGCGUGAGAAACCUGCCUUUCACAAAGGGAUAGCCUCGGGAAACUGGGAUUAAUACCUUAUGACACUUUAACCUCGCAUGGGGAAUAAGUUAAAGCGUAAAGCGGUGGAAGAUGGUCUCGCGUCCUAUUAGCUAGUUGGUGAGGUAACGGCUCACCAAGGCGACGAUAGGUAGCCGGCCUGAGAGGGUGAACGGCCACACUGGAACUGAGACACGGUCCAGACUCCUACGGGAGGCAGCAGUGGGGAAUAUUGCACAAUGGAGGAAACUCUGAUGCAGCGACGCCGCGUGAAUGAUGAAGGCCUUCGGGUCGUAAAAUUCUGUCCUUGGGGAAGAUAAUGACGGUACCCAAGGAGGAAGCCCCGGCUAACUACGUGCCAGCAGCCGCGGUAA
rnacentral:rRNA from 1 species